GAGAAGCAAUAUUGGUUGGUCUAUUGCUGGGGGGGGUGUGUAUGGAGUCUGGUUGGGUCCCUCUAUGCUGUCCUGUGGGGCCUAUGCAGGCCCUGUGGGGCCUGGCCCAGCUCUGCUGCAAUGAGGUGUGAGGCUCCCAGGCAGUUUGGUGGUAUUGCAGCAGGAGAGGUCUUGGAGAAGGGGAUGGGGCAGAGCCUGAGCAAAGGGCUCUGAGCUGGGGGAAUUGGGCAGUCGGGAUUUCUAUUCCAGAUGUGUUUUGCCCACGUUCUUUUGAGUGACUGGGACUCUGUGCUGUGCCAGGGUGCUGGAGGACCCCUGCUGCCUGCUGGAGGAGCAGAGGCCUCCAAAUGUGCAUUGCUGUGAGCUGGAAGGUGUGCUGCAUGGAGCUGGAGCUUAGCCAGGUGUUUUGGGGCUGGAGCUGUGCCUGGUGUCCAUUACAUGAACGGAUGGCCACAUUGCAGCUGAUGUUACUGGGGGUGCACAAGGGUGGCAUGGAUUUACUAAUGGAUGGUGGAAGACCUCUGAAAGGCACAGUGAGGAACACCUCCUAACGUGGAUGCUUAAUCUGCUGGGAGGACGGGUGGGCAUGAGGUGUUUUCAGUUCUAAAUUUUAAAAAAUAUUACAUAGAUCAGGGCAGAGACUGUGGUUUAGAGAAGGAAGAGUGAUCUGGGAAGCAGGAUUCACCAGUGCCUCUCCUGGAAAACAGUUUUUAUUUAACUUGAAAAACAUGCCAAUAACAGAAAACAUAACUCAUCUUGUGAAAGUUAUGGUUGGCUGUAAAAUAGAAUACAGAAAACUUUCCUACUCAAGCUGAAA